UACGGAGGGGGCGAGCGUUAUUCGGAAUUAUUGGGCGUAAAGGGCGCGUAGGCGGCCCUGCAAGUCAAAGGUGAAAUCCCUCGGCUCAACUGAGGAACUGCCUUUGAAACUGCGGGGCUUGAGGCCGGGAGGGGGUAGCGGAAUUCCCAGUGUAGCGGUGAAAUUCGUAGAUAUUGGGAAGAACACCAGUGGCGAAGGCGGCUAACUGGUCCGAUACUGACGCUGAGGUGCGAAAGCGUGGGGAGCAAACAGG
rnacentral:rRNA from 1 species